ACACCACACUGGCAGGUGGGAUACUAUGAUCAUAAAGGUGGUUUUCUCAGGGUGAGGCUCAUUUGUUACACUGCGGGUGUGCUGACUCAUGCAAUUUAACUAAAUGCAAGAAACUCAACAUGUAACAUUUGUGUUACUUGGUGGAAAGGCCUUUACUUUAC